rnacentral:rRNA from 1 species
AACGUAUAAGACUAGUGUUAUUCAUCUUUAUUAGGUUUAAAGGGUACCUAGACGGUAAAUAAAAAUACUAAAACAGUGUUUUUUUACUAGAGUUUUAUAAGAGAAGGAAGAAUUUCUGGAGUAGUGAUUGCAUAUUUUAAUACCGGAGAGACUGGUAACGGCGAAGGCAUCCUUCUAUGUAAAAACUGACGUUGAGGGACGAAGGCUUGGGUAUCAAUUAGG